rnacentral:tRNA from 1 species
GGUAAGAUGGCCGAGAGAGGCAGUGGGUUGUAGCCCCAAAGACAGAGGUUCAAGUCCUCUUUUUACCA